AAAAUCAAAGCUUCAUAGAUUAUGUAUAUGUGAAAAUGUGAACAUCAUGUUCAAUAUAUUUAGAAACACCCUUAAACUGAACCAAAAUUGUUGUUUGGUUCGGUCCAAUUUGAUAUUUUUUUAAUUUUAAGUUCAAAUCAAUUUAAUUUUGGUUUAAUUUUUUCAGUUCAACUUGAUUCGGUUUGGUUUUUUUCAUUUGGUUUUUCAUUUUACUUGAAUAUUGUUUUUCAAUAAAUCAAGAAUUAAACCCAAAACAACAGUGAAUCGUAUCGAACAUGAAGGCCCAGUUCAUCCCGAAAACCAAGAACUAAACCUUUACAUUCAUCAUUGCAACUAAACAGAAUGUCAUCUGAAUUCAUAUAGCUCAUCGAAAGUGAAAUGUACACAUACAAAAUGGCAUCUAAAUUCAUAAUUUCAAUAAUAAUCAUAAAAUUCAACUCAAAACACAAAGAUUCAAGCUGAGAUUAAAAAUCAGCAUCAAUCUGCAGCAACUAGAAAAGGGUCGCAUGCGAGGGUGACUAGGUGAGGCAUGAGUGAGUGAGUGAAAUUCUUCCCCAAAUCAAUCUUCUGCCUCAUAUUUCUGACAAAUUAAUGACGAACUCACAGAAUUAAACAAAACUCACUUGGCCAAAUCCAAUGAACUUGCAAAGGAGAACAAAUCUUAACGUUGAACAGUUAAGGAUAACGAGAGAACUUACCUCGACGAAUAGAACCGUUCUAGUGGCAAAGUCUCCACCAUGGUCAAUGAGACAGUGAAGCACCGUAAAGCUGUGAUUUUUCAAAGAAAUUGGCAAGUGAGUUCCCCAGACAGAGAGAGAGG
rnacentral:lncRNA from 1 species